GAUGAACGCUGGCGGCGUGCCUAAUACAUGCAAGUCGAACGAAACUUCUUUAUCACCGAGUGCUUGCACUCACCGAUACAGAGUUGAGUGGCGAACGGGUGAGUAACACGUGGGCAGCCUGCCCAAAAGAGGGGGAUAACACUUGGAAACAGGUGCUAAUACCGCAUAACCAUAGUUACCGCAUGGUAACUAUGUAAAAGGUGGCUAUACUACCGCUUUUGGAUGGGCCCGCGGCGCAUUAGCUAGUUGGUAGGGUAAAGGCUUACCAAGGCAAUGAUGCGUAGCCGAAUUGAGAGGUUGAUCGGCCACAUUGGGACUGAGACACGGCCCAAACUCCUACGGGAGGCAGCAGUAGGGAAUCUUCCACAAUGGGCGAAAGCCUGAUGGAGCAACGCCGCGUGGGUGAAGAAGGUCUUCGGAUCGUAAAACCCUGUUGUUAGAGAAGAAAGUGCGUGAGAGUAACUGUUCACGUUUCGACGGUAUCUAACCAGAAAGCCACGGCUAACUACGUG
rnacentral:rRNA from 1 species